rnacentral:rRNA from 1 species
GUCGAACGGUAACAUUCUCGCUUGCGAGAGAUGACGAGUGGCGCACGGGUGCGUAACGCGUAUGCAACCUACCCUUAACAGGGGGAUAGCCCGGAGAAAUUCGGAUUAAUACCCCAUAGUAUCGAAUGAAGGCACCUGAAAAUGAUUAAAGAUUUAUCGGUUAAGGAUGGGCAUGCGUGACAUUAGCUAGUUGGUGAGGUAACGGCUCACCAAGGCAACGAUGUCUAGGGGUUCUGAGAGGAUGAUCCCCCACACUGGCACUGAGAUACGGGCCAGACUCCUACGGGAGGCAGCAGUAGGGAAUAUUGGUCAAUGGGCGAGAGCCUGAACCAGCCAUGCCGCGUGCAGGAAGACGGCCUUCUGGGUUGUAAACUGCUUUUAUCAGGGAACAAAAAGGCCAUGCGUGGCAAAUUGCGUGUACCUGAAGAAUAAGCACCGGCUAACUCCGUGCCAGCAGCCGCGGUAAUACGGAGGGUGCAAGCGUUGUCCGGAUUUAUUGGGUUUAAAGGGUGCGUAGGCGGUCACAUAAGUCAGUGGUGAAAGCCCUCAGCUCAACUGAGGAACUGCCAUUGAAACUGUGUAACUUGAGUACAGACGAGGUAGGCGGAAUUUAUGGUGUAGCGGUGAAAUGCAUAGAUACCAUAAAGAACACCGAUAGCGAAGGCAGCUUACUAGACUGUAACUGACGCUGAUGCACGAAAGCGUGGGUAGCGAACAGGAUUAGAUACCCUGGUAGUCCACGCUGUAAACGAUGAUUACUCGAUGUGUGCGAUAUACA